CCGAGCCUGAAUGUAAAAGCUGAACACAGAAAGGAUAGUUGCAAUCUGCUCUUGCACAAACUCAAUUCAAACAGCUUAUUUUCACCUGAGGAUGUACAGACAUACACAGCUGAGAAAAAUACCUGUAACACUGGAAUGAAUUCCAGAAAAUGCAGCUGCAGUCUCAGAAAACACAGAGAUUCAAAUGUUGACUUCAGAAAUUCAAGGAGAAAGAAGAAUUGAACUGAUAUUUCAUUUCUCUGGGAGAAGACUGGAUGAUAACUUCCCACACUUUCACAGGCAAUCCUGGCAAAAUUAUUGUGACAGUUGAAAGAGAAUGAACUAUUGAGCAACAAUUAACUAUAUUUCAGAGGAUAGAGACAAAAAAUGUCAAGAUAGAGGCUACAAUCACCUAAGGGUGUCAAUAAGAAAGUAACCCCAACUGGUUCCCCACAGAGCUUAGGCCUCCUCCCCAACCUCUAUCAUCCAUUGCGUUCUUACCUUUUGAAGAUCUCCAGAGCUUUCCUCAGCACUCUACUGACUGUGUUAGGGAAUCAGAAUGGAACAAUUCAUUCACAGACAUGGGGCGGCCUCCUGGAAGUGGCCGCCAUUUCAGAGCAACUGCAAGUGAUUGUCGAUAGACAGAAAAUGACAGCUGUUUUUGGGAGGCAGUCACGCAACCAAGAGAUGAACUCCGGGAGAUGAAGCGCCGAAAGAGACGCCUAGAGCACCGAUGGAGAUCCAGUAAAUCCGAAUCGA